GGCUGGUUCAAAGAUAGUAGGUCAUUUCAGUUUAACUUAUUGCUUGUGGUCAAUUGGGGAUUGAUCUACUUGUUCUCUCAUUUACCCCACUUCCCAUUACUGUACUUGACUAGUGUGAA
rnacentral:Y_RNA from 1 species